ensembl:ncRNA K02A4.10 ncRNA
AUCGAACUCCAUUACUGCCAAAUCAUCUCUACUCAAUUCAGAUAGUUCGAGCAUUUGAUAAGAUUCUGUAGCACAAAAUAACUACCACAAAAUCUUAUCUCUUGUAAGAACAUUAGAUAUUUGGUUAGAGGCCUAAAAUAUAAUUGUUA